ensembl:lncRNA
CGUCACCCCUGGAGACGCGGAUAUGGUUGCUUCUCUCGCUGAGUCAGACUGUCAGCGUUAAAGUUCAGAAAUCCAACUCUAAUUCAGAAAUAUGUCCCUGACAACACUUAAGUUCUUUCCACCUGUAGUCAUAAGAACUAUUGUGGUUGAUUGUUUCUACUGUAUUUUCAGGAUUUGUGUGGGUGUGUGGGUGUGUGAUCAUCGCGGUUAUAAAGCAGGGCGGGCGAGCCGGGACUCGGUCCACUCGGUGUCUAUACCUGCUUGUCUCCUGGAGCCGCACCCCCGUCCCCGUCCAGCCUCCAUCCAGAGCCCCUCCCCGCUCUUUCGGAUUAAAAUAUUUUCACUGAACUUAAUAGGCUGCCAAUAGAGAACUAUAAAAGGAACUAAAAUUUUUUCGGAUGACAUCUUUGGUAGGCUAAUUCUAAGAAGUGCAGCUUCUAGUCAGCAGCCUAAACAAAGAAAAUGUGAACGGAAACAAACCAUGUGAACAUGAAAACUCUUCUCUCAUCACUUCCAGUGGUUUUGAAAAAACAGCAUCACCAAAAGCAGAGAGACUAGGAAGAAGGAAAGCUAGCAUUAUUUUUUAGACGGAAGAGUCCAGGUGACUCUGCUAAGCUGGUGAGGGAGGAGAGCACUGCUCUCAGCCCGUGGUUGGAAGACUCUUCUCUGCUCGGGACCUGAUGCCCGGACUGGCUCCUGGGGCACUCACUUAGACUGGAUUAUUACUGCUCAGUGUUAGAGGAGGGGCUCCCUUCUCUUUCAACUGAAUGACAAGAGCAGUGUAUCUAUGGCUUUUGUUUCUGUUGGGAAACUGACUAACAAGAGUAAAAGAAGCUGAAGAGGUGUGUAGGCAGAAAAAGGGAAAGUCACCCUAUGAAAUAAAACCAAGACAUGACUGGAAUUGCAACAAAAAUAAGCAUGAAAACCUGACCAGUGAAAAGCAGAACAAAAAUGAGUCACUGCAGCUGCUUCCACAGAAUUCAGCCCGCCUGAGGGCAGGAAGGAAGCUCAUCAUUUUGAUCACCUUUCUUCUUGGCUUCUUGCAUAAUCUUUAUGUUUUCCAGUUUACUGGUUGUUGAAUUCUACACUGUAUUCAUAUAAAAAUGCAAAAGCAGUAGGCCAGUGGAGAAUGUGACACCUUUUCUUUUUGAAAGUUUCUGGUAUUUUACCAAUAGACCAAAACAGCAUGUGUAAGAGGCAGUAUCUGCAUUAAUUCUGAACAUGCUAAACAGUAACCUCCAACUUAUUGUUGUGAGAAUAUUCCCUGUCACAGCGAAACGCUCUUUCUCCUGACGACCAGUACUCCACGUCACUGCAUUUAGAUUUAUGGUUAACAUGAUAUUUCUAGUGACUUGUUUGUAUCAGUUUCACAUCUACAUAUAAAUUUUCUAUUUUAAAAUUGAGGUACCAUUUAUAUGUGUCAUAGAUAAGGCUUUCCCAGCUCUUGGGUAGGUCUCUGUAACUACAUAUUUGUGAAAGAAGAUUAUCCUUUUUUUUUUUUUUUUUUUUUUUACUAAUCACACAAUGAAUAGAAAAAAAAAUAUCAGAAGUAAAACCCUUUCUAUACAUCAUUUAAUAUAGGC